rnacentral:rRNA from 1 species
UACUGGAAACGGUAGCUAAUACCGCAUAACGUCGCAAGACCAAAGAGGGGGACCUUCGGGCCUCUUGCCAUCAGAUGUGCCCAGAUGGGAUUAGCUAGUAGGUGGGGUAACGGCUCACCUAGGCGACGAUCCCUAGCUGGUCUGAGAGGAUGACCAGCCACACUGGAACUGAGACACGGUCCAGACUCCUACGGGAGGCAGCAGUGGGGAAUAUUGCACAAUGGGCGCAAGCCUGAUGCAGCCAUGCCGCGUGUAUGAAGAAGGCCUUCGGGUUGUAAAGUACUUUCAGCGAGGAGGAAGGUGUUGAGGUUAAUAACCUCAGCAAUUGACGUUACUCGCAGAAGAAGCACCGGCUAACUCCGUGCCAGCAGCCGCGGUAAUACGGAGGGUGCAAGCGUUAAUCGGAAUUACUGGGCGUAAAGCGCACGCAGGCGGUCUGUCAAGUCGGAUGUGAAAUCCCCGGGCUCAACCUGGGAACUGCAUUCGAAACUGGCAGGCUAGAGUCUUGUAGAGGGGGGUAGAAUUCCAGGUGUAGCGGUGAAAUGCGUAGAGAUCUGGAGGAAUACCGGUGGCGAAGGCGGCCCCCUGGACAAAGACUGACGCUCAGGUGCGAAAGCG